rnacentral:tRNA from 1 species
UGGGGAUUGGGGUAGCGGAAGCCCGCCUGGUUCUGGUCCAGGAAGCCCAGGUUCGAUCCCUGGAUCCCCAG